rnacentral:rRNA from 1 species
CCUACGGGGGGCUGCAGUGGGGAAUAUUGCACAAUGGGCGCAAGCCUGAUGCAGCCAUGCCGCGUGUGUGAAGAAGGCCUUCGGGUUGUAAAGCACUUUCAGCGGGGAGGAAGGCGUUAAGGUUAAUAACCUUGGCGAUUGACGUUACCCGCAGAAGAAGCACCGGCUAACUCCGUGCCAGCAGCCGCUGUAAUACGGAGGGUGCAAGCGUUAAUCGGAAUUACUGGGCGUAAAGCGCACGCAGGCGGUCUGUCAAGUCGGAUGUGAAAUCCCCGGGCUCAACCUGGGAACUGCAUUCGAAACUGGCAGGCUAGAGUCUUGUAGAGGGGGGUAGAAUUCCAGGUGUAGCGGUGAAAUGCGUAGAGAUCUGGAGGAAUACCGGUGGCGAAGGCGGCCCCCUGGACAAAGACUGACGCUCAGGUGCGAAAGCGUGGGGAGCAAACAGGAUUAGAUACCCUAGUAGUC